AGAGUUUGAUCAUGGCUCAGAUUGAACGCUGGCGGCGUGCUUAACACAUGCAAGUCGAGCGGUAACAGGCGUAGCAAUACGUGCUGACGAGCGGCGAACGGGUGAGUAAUGCUUCGGAAUCUUCCUUUCGGUGGGGAAUAACCUGGGGAAACUCAGGCUAAUACCGCAUACGAACCACGGUUGAAAGCGGGGGAUCGCAAGACCUCGCGCCGAAAGAUGAGCCGAAGUCGGAUUAGCUAGUUGGUGGGGUAACGGCCCACCAAGGCGACGAUCCGUAGCUGGUCUGAGAGGACGACCAGCCACACUGGGACUGAGACACGGCCCAGACUCCUACGGGAGGCAGCAGUGGGGAAUAUUGGACAAUGGGCGCAAGCCUGAUCCAGCGACGCCGCGUGUGUGAAGAAGGCCUGCGGGUUGUAAAGCACUUUUAGUGGGGAUGAAAAGCCGAAGGCUAAUACCUUUCGGUCUUGACCUAACCCAAAGAAGAAGCACCGGCUAACUCUGUGCCAGCAGCCGCGGUAAUACAGAGGGUGCAAGCGUUAAUCGGAAUUACUGGGCGUAAAGCGUGCGUAGUCGGUUAUUCAAGUCGGGUGUGAAAGCCCCGGGCUCAACCUGGGAAUUGCAUUCGAUACUGUCUAGCUAGAGUUCGGCAGAGGGAAGUGGAAUUUCCGGUGUAGCGGUGAAAUGCGUAGAUAUCGGAAGGAACAUCAGUGGCGAAAGCGACUUCCUGGACCAGAACUGACGAUCAGGCACGAAAGCGUGGGGAGCAAACAGGAUUAGAUACCCUAGUAGUCC
rnacentral:rRNA from 1 species